rnacentral:sRNA from 15 species
AGUUGCCGUUGGAGUAGUUGUUUAAUUUAACUAGCAGUAUUUAUUAAUUUUAUUUUUAAGUUAAUGGCAACUAUGGAGAACGAAAACAAUCUUUAAUGAAACAAAAAAUAACCAACAUUUAUGACCGAGUAAUUAUUGAAAUAUGUCGUGAAAUUAUGGAAAAGAUAAAAAAAUCACUGAUCCGAAAUGAACAUAGUAAUUUCCAUAGUCUACAAAAUAUUAAAAAAUAUGCACACAAAGAAGUUCGAGACGCUUUCUUCAUGUUUAAGAUAUGCUCAAGUCCUUCCCAAGAAUUAGAUUUGUAUUGUGAUAAAGCAAAGCGAGAUAAUAUUGAAAAGGUUAUUAUGAAAGACAUAUACGAUGAGGAAGUGGAGUGCAGCUGUAAAGAAAAUUCUGUUGUAGAAUCGAUCUUUGAUGAAAUGGUAGGAAGCUAUGCAAAACAAAUCAUUAAAUAUAUGUUUAAAAGGAUCUGCCUACAAGUGAAACUAUGCUGAAAUGGUUAAAUAAAUAUUUUUUUUCAUAA